rnacentral:rRNA from 1 species
CUACGGAGGGUGCAAGCGUUAUUCGGAAUCACUGGGCGUAAAGGACGCGUAGGCGGGUUGGCAAGUCAGAUGUGAAAUCCUACAGCUUAACUGUAGAACUGCAUUUGAAACUGCUAACCUAGAGUAUGAGAGGGGGAGAUGGAAUUAGUGGUGUAGGGGUAAAAUCCGUAGAUAUCACUAGGAUUACCGAAAGCGAAGGCGAUCUCCUGGAACAUAACUGACGCUAAGGCGUGAGAGCGUGGGGAGCAAACAGUAUUAGAAACCCCAGUAGUCC